rnacentral:rRNA from 2 species
AACGGCGAGUGAACAGGGAAAAGCUCAAAUUUGUAAUCUGGCACUUUUUACAAGUGUCCGAGUUGUAAUUUGUAGAAUCGUUAUCCGUGCUGGACCAUGUACAAGUCUGUUGAAAAGCAGCAUCAUUGAAGGUGAAAAUCCUGUAGAUGAUAUGGACUACCAGUGCAUUUGUGAUAUGAUUUCUAAGAGUCGAGUUGUUUGGGAAUGCAGCUCAAAGUGGGUGGUAAAUUCCAUCUAAGGCUAAAUAUAAGUGAGAGACCGAUAGCAAACAAGUACCGUGAGGGAAAGAUGAAAAGAACUUUGAAAAUAGAGUUAACAGUACGUGAAAUUGCUGAAAGGGAAACGUUUGAAGUUAGUAUUGUAUUCGUUGGAUCAGCUUCGCAAGGAGUGUAUUCUGAUGAUAAGCAAGUCAACAUCAAUCUUUGGGUGUUGGAUAAGGGUUUUGAGGACGUAGCAAUUUAAUUGUGUUAUAACUUGAGACUUGGAUACAAUGCUUGGGAUUGAGGAACGCGUAGUAAGCUUUGUGCGGAUCAGAAAAUGAUCUCCUUACUAUGGAUGUUGGUGAAAUAUCUUUAAGCGACC